rnacentral:rRNA from 2 species
ACUCAGUGAAAUUGAACUCGCUGUGAAGAUGCAGUGUACCCGCGGCAAGACGGAAAGACCCCGUGAACCUUUACUAUAGCUUGACACUGAACAUUGAGCCUUGAUGUGUAGGAUAGGUGGGAGGCUUUGAAGCGUGGACGCCAGUCUGCGUGGAGCCGACCUUGAAAUACCACCCUUUAAUGUUUGAUGUUCUAACGUGGAUCCGUAAUCCGGGUUGCGGACAGUGUCUGGUGGGUAGUUUGACUGGGGCGGUCUCCUCCUAAAGAGUAACGGAGGAGCACGAAGGUUGGCUAAUCCUGGUCGGACAUCAGGAGGUUAGUGCAAUGGCAUAAGCCAGCUUGACUGCGAGCGUGACGGCGCGAGCAGGUGCGAAAGCAGGUCAUAGUGAUCCGGUGGUUCUGAAUGGAAGGGCCAUCGCUCAACGGAUAAAAGGUACUCCGGGGAUAACAGGCUGAUACCGCCCAAGAGUUCAUAUCGACGGCGGUGUUUGGCACCUCGAUGUCGGCUCAUCACAUCCUGGGGCUGAAGUAGGUCCCAAGGGUAUGGCUGUUCGCCAUUUAAAGUGGUACGCGAGCUGGGUUUAGAACGUCGUGAGACAGUUCGGUCCCUAUCUGCCGUGGGCGCUGGAGAACUGAGGGGGGCUGCUCCUAGUACGAGAGGACCGGAGUGGACGCAUCACUGGUGUUCGGGUUGUCAUGCCAAUGGCACUGCCCGGUAGCUAAAUGCGGAAGAGAUAAGUGCUGAAAGCAUCUAAGCACGAAACUUGCCCCGA